rnacentral:rRNA from 1 species
AAUCGCAGAUCAGCAUGCUGCGGUGAAUACGUUCCCGGGCCUUGUACACACCGCCCGUCACACCAUGGGAGUCGGAAAUGCCCGAAGUCUGUGACCCAACCUUAGGGAGGGAGCAGCCGAAGGCAGGUCGGAUGACUGGGGUGAAGUCGUAACAAGGUAAC